rnacentral:lncRNA from 1 species
CAGACGCCGAACGGACAGAGCUUCCCCUGUCCGCCCAAGGCUCAACACUAGUAUCAAUAGAGUACAAAUUUGCAUAAGCGGAAGCAUACACAAUAGCUUGCACGAGAGCAAGCAAUAGCCAAGGUGAAAGAAUUAGCAAUUCAAUAUACAAGUAUUAUGACUAAAUUUAAAUUACAUACAUGUAUCCAACUAUAAUCAAGUUCUGUCACAUUCUUGCAUCAUUUCUUUUUACAUCUCAUUUCUCCCAAAAUAUAACUUUUGACAUUUAAAGUAAAUAUUCUUUACAUCAUUCAUUAAAGCAAAUUCAUAAUACUAAAAUCAUCAAAUACAAAAGAUGAUAGUAAAGGGUGUGCAACUACAAAAUGAAAUCCAUCUCGGGCGGUCUCUACCUAGGGCGCGAUGCCCUUACCGCGAUCAUCUGCCGGCUCGCUCGGUCCCGGCUCUGUGGAAAUAGUGGGGUGAGAACUACAACAAAGUUUCCAGUGGGUUCGGCAACCAACCACGCCGACUAUCCCACUAGGUCUAAUCAGGCAUAAUAGAAGAAAGAAUAGAUAAUAACCAACUAACAAAUGCAGCUAAUAUGCCUGAACGAUAAAUAAAACUAUGCUCGAUAGAAUGCUCAUGAUGAAUGCAAGAUUAACUUUUCAUUACCCAAUCUCAUGGCUAGCCCGUAGGUUUCGCCCUCACAAACUCACCAACCCAAAUCCCUAUUGUCGGGGAGAUAACCGCUACGACCCGACGGGACCGCCCUCUGGGGAGAUAACCGCUACGACCCAGUGAUGACAACUCCGGAGCACAUCGCCCGAGGGGGAGCUACCGCCCUCGAGUAAGGACUAUUAGGUGAGUACGAUCUGUAAUAUACCGAAAAUUCUGAAAAUAAAGAUGUCGAACUUUAGUCAAAUUGACCAAAGUGCGAGGACGGUACACUUCGGAAAGUCCGAAGGUGUUAAAAUGAUUAAAAGCGAGUUACGGGAGGUUUUCGAGAGCUAUAGAAUCAAAAUCUGCAUUCUGCAGUUUUGAGCUCUCGGGACCGGUCCCUGGUGGGAGAGGCCGGUCCCCGAACGCGUAUGGAAUGAGACAGCCGAAAAAUCGGCUAAGUCCUGAGGAAUCAGCUCUCGGGAAUCGGUCCCUGCCUGAGAGACCGGUCCCCGAGAGACCGGUCCCCCAAGGAGAGACCGGAUGCAUCGCGCGCAGCAGCUCUGGCUGCGCUGGAGAGCUCUCGGAGACCGGUCCCUAGUCGGGGAGACCGGUCCCCGAGCCCGAAAUCUGCCCAGUCCAGGCAGUUGAAUAAGAUGAAAGUUGAGGGGUUUAUUUGCAUUUUUGCAACCCAUGGGUUAUGUAGAGGGCUGAGAGAGCCUUUUCUCUCAUUCUCUCCCUCACACACACUCUCUUCUCUCCCUC